rnacentral:lncRNA from 1 species
AUGCAAGAUGUAUCUAGAGAUGCGUGAAAUUAGAAAUGCAGGAAUUAUAAUUAUGUGCAUCUAAUUAUUUGGUUGGAUAUAGUAGAUAGUAUUAUAAUUAUAAAUAAUUUAUUUAGUUAUAUGUAACUGGGAAGCUUGUUUACGAACUUCUAUGCUAUUUUAUGUAUAGGGCGAAGCGAUUACUACUUAUAUAGAAAAGAUUUUUUUUUUUUUUAAAUAUUAAGGAGAUAAUUUUACUGUUAUUUAAAAUUACUCUUUUCAAAUGCUGCAAUGAGAACUAGAAAGAGUUCAAAACGAAAAGGACGCUUGGCAGAAAGAUUUCUACAAGUAAAAUAAAAAGGUUAAGGAGCAAAGGAGCAUGAUCCGAACCACUUCUUGGAAGAUGUUCACAAUUUGGUUAGGGAUGUUUGGCAGAAAGAUUUCUACAAGUAAAAUAAAAAGGUUAAGGAGAAAAGGAGCAUGAUCUGAACCACUUCUUUAUCGACACGAGGGAGCG